rnacentral:lncRNA from 1 species
AGUCCAACCCAGUCCAUCACCUGGAGGCUGGAGAACCACGAGGCUGUUGCCUGUUCGUCCCCCUCUUCUGAGAGGUCCAGGUCACCUGCUCUGGGAGAAGCCAGUUGCCAUGUUGUAAGGACACUCAAGCAGCCCAUGGAAUGACUCACAUGCUGAAGAACUGAGCCCUCCCUCCUUCCAACAGCCAGGGAGGAACUAGGGCUUCUUGCCAAUAACCAUGUGAAGAAGCUUGGAAAUGGAUUCUCCCCCAAAUGAGUCUUCAGAUUACUUUAGACUAACAUCUUGACUGCAACCUCUAGAAAGACCCUGAGCCAGGAUCACCAAGCUCACAGAAGCUAAGAGUUAAUAAAUGUUUGAAUUAA